rnacentral:lncRNA from 1 species
CUCUAUCCCCUCCUCUGAGUUCUUUCUUGCCGGGGCGUUCCUCUUGUGGCCUCCCUGCCGAGUCUGGUUGCCCCUGUAUUGACAGCUCUCCCCGUCCCCAGGCUCCGCUCCCAUACCUCUAUGCCCAGGCCUUCCACGUCCACUCUAGUCCUGAGCAUCAGGCAGGUCCCUCUGUUCUCUUCUGCUUGGGACAUCAGGGUCCCUGGGGCCACUCUUCCCCCACCCCUGCUUCCUACCCCAAGCCUGAGCCCUCUGGCCAGCUGGCUGCCCUGACUCGGCAGGUCCUGCUCACCCGUUCCUCCUCAAAGCUGAUGAGGCCCUCGUCCUCCGUAUCCAGGUCCUCAGGCUCGUCGGCCACAAGUGCCCGCAGCUCGGUGGGGGUGGGCCGUGGCCGGAACAGGCUGAGCAGGCGGCCCAAGGGGGACUGCAGGGCUGAGGGCGGCUCUGUCUCCUGCUGCUCCAGGUUGUCGCUCUGCUUCUUGGCGAAGUUCACGAACACCUGGUGGGCAGGGGCAGGUUGGUGGGCAGGGCCCAGCUCAGGCGGCCUGCACCCUUGGCCCGGGGCGCUCACGUUGUCCAGAGUGGUCUGGCUGACCGAGUAGUCCUCGAUGCCCAGCACGCCCACCACCUGCUCCAUCUUGCUGAACACCUGCGCCAGUGAGAUGUGCUCCGACUUGAGCUGGUACUGCACCUUCGUGUGGUGCCGCUCCUGGGGGGGUGCAGAGGUCAGAGGCCACUUGGCCAGGGCCCCCCACCCUUCCCACCCCAGGGGGCCCCACCCACCUUGAGCAUGGCCUCUGGAAAGUUCCGGUUGAAGAACCGCACCACGUCUUUCACGUUCUGGCUGCUCUUGGUCCUCACCGUGAUCAUGUAGCCAUCUCCAAACCUGCAGGAUAGGCCCGUGGCCUGCAGCCCCGGCCACCCAGGGGAGCCCAUCCCCGACUCGCCACAGCCCCACAGCUCCUGCAGCCCCUGCAGCAGCAUGCCCAGCUCACCGGUUCUUCAGGUGCUGGAUGCUGCCCAGACAGCGCAGGCGCCCGUUCACCAUGAUGGCCAGCCGCGUGCACAGCGCCUCACACUCCUCCAUGCUGGGCAGAGACACACGCGGAGUGGGCUGGCACGCAGUGGGGGGGUGGGGGAAGCACCAUGCAGGGACAGGGAGGGGGCCGCACCUGUGCGAUGUCAGCACCACUGAGCGCCCUGUCUUGAUGAGAUCCAGAAUGAGGUUCCAGAGGAAGCGCCUGGCCUUGGGGUCCAUGCCUGUGGUUGGCUCGUCCUGGGGGUGGUGCCAGGCUCAGCUGCUGCAUCCCUGCUCACCCCAACUGGCCCCACUGGCCGCCUCCUGCCCAGGCCCACAGGAAGAUGGGACCCAACCCCCCAUCCCCCCAGGCUCACCAGGAAGAUGAAGGCCGGGUACCCGAUGAGGGCGAUGGCUGUGGACAGCUUCCGCUUGUUGCCUCCGCUGUAUGUGCCAGCCGGCUUGUCGGCAUAUUUGGUCAGCUCCAGCUUCUCCAGAGCCCACUUCACCACCUGGGGUGACAGCAGAUGUCAAGGCCGGCCCUUCACACGGCCCCUCCCCGGCCUGGGCGACCCUCACCCGCGCCUCGUCCUUCCAGGGGAUGCCGCGGAGCCGUGUGUACAGCUGCAGGUGCUCCCGGGCCGUGAGCUCGUCGAACAGGGCAUCGAACUGCGGGCAGUAGCCCAGGCUCUGCUGCACCUGGAGCAGCUCCUUGAGCACACUGGGGAUAAGCGCCAUCAGCGCCGUCAGCCCCCAGCAGCGGCCACCUCACCUGCCCCUAGGCGCCCGUGCCCGCACCUGUGCCCGUUGACGAAGGCCUCGCCCCCCGUCGUGCUCUCAUCACCCGUCAGCAUCUUGAAGGUGCUGGUCUUCCCUGCGCCGUUGACACCCAGGAGGCCGAAGCACUCGCCAGGGCGCACGCCCAGGCACAGGCGGUCCACAGCCAAGAUACGGCCAAUCUUCCGAGACUUGUACACCUGGAGCAGGCGAGGGGCUGCC